rnacentral:lncRNA from 1 species
UUUAUGUCUGAUGUUGAUGGUAGAAUAUUUAUAUCAUGAAUGUGUUCCUAUGUCGAUAUAUUGGAAGGAUUCUAAAUAAUCGAUCAAUGGAAGCUGAGUAUAUUGUAGAUGUGUAGGAUGCAUUCUGGUUGUAAUGUUAGUUGCAGAAUUAGUUGUCAUACCAUCAGAUGCUGUGAUACUAUACUGCAAAGACAAUGGCACCAUAGCCCUUGCUAAGGAAUCUAUGUCUCACCAGAUAUCCAAGCACAUAAAAUCGUAGAACACAUGACUAUCUUGAGUAGAAAUAUAUAGAGGUGCAGAG